rnacentral:rRNA from 1 species
AUCGGGGUUGCGGACAGUGUCUGGUGGGUAGUUUGACUGGGGCGGUCUCCUCCCAAAGAGUAACGGAGGAGCACGAAGGUUAGCUAAUCCUGGUCGGACAUCAGGAGGUUAGUGCAAUGGCAUAAGCUAGCUUGACUGCGAGCGUGACGGCGCGAGCAGGUGCGAAAGCAGGUCAUAGUGAUCCGGUGGUUCUGAAUGGAAGGGCCAUCGCUCAACGGAUAAAAGGUACUCCGGGGAUAACAGGCUGAUACCGCCCAAGAGUUCAUAUCGACGGCGGUGUUUGGCACCUCGAUGUCGGCUCAUCACAUCCUGGGGCUGAAGUAGGUCCCAAGGGUAUGGCUGUUCGCCAUUUAAAGUGGUACGCGAGCUGGGUUUAGAACGUCGUGAGACAGUUCGGUCCCUAUCUGCCGUGGGCGCUGGAGAAUUGAGGGGGGCUGCUCCUAGUACGAGAGGACCGGAGUGGACGCAUCACUGGUGUUCGGGUUGUCAUGCCAAUGGCACUGCCCGGUAGCUAAAUGCGGAAGAGAUAAGUGCUGAAAGCAUCUAAGCACGAAACUUGCCCCGAGAUGAGUUCUCCCUGAGACUAUAAGUCUCCUGAAGGAACGUUGAAGACGACGACGUUGAUAGGCCGGGUGUGUAAGCGCAGCGAUGCGUUGAGCUAACCGGUACUAAUGAACCGUGAGGCUUAACCUUACAACGCCGAAGCUGUU